rnacentral:rRNA from 1 species
GGGAGCCGGAGGGAAACCGAGUCUUAAUUGGGCGUUAAGUUGCAGGGUAUAGACCCGAAACCCGGUGAUCUAGCCAUGGGCAGGUUGAAGGUUGGGUAACACUAACUGGAGGACCGAACCGACUAAUGUUGAAAAAUUAGCGGAUGACCUGUGGCUGGGGGUGAAAGGCCAAUCAAACCGGGAGAUAGCUGGUUCUCCCCGAAAGCUAUUUAGGUAGCGCCUCGUGAAUUCAUCUCCGGGGGUAGAGCACUGUUUCGGCUAGGGGGCCAUCCCGGCUUACCAACCCGAUGCAAACUGCGAAUACCGGAGAAUGUUAUCACGGGAGACACACGGCGGGUGCUAACGUCCGUCGUGAAGAGGGAAACAACCCAGACCGCCAGCUAAGGUCCCAAAGUCAUGGUUAAGUGGGAAACGAUGUGGGAAGGCCCAGACAGCCAGGAUGUUGGCUUAGAAGCAGCCAUCAUUUAAAGAAAGCGUAAUAGCUCACUGGUCGAGUCGGCCUGCGCGGAAGAUGUAACGGGGCUAAACCAUG